GGGCGGAUCCAGGCCACUGCCCACCGGACCAGGAGGCCACGCGCGCUUGGCUGCUCCAAUUCCCCAUCCAGCUCGGCAGCUCCAAUUCCCCAAUUCCAGCAGUCCUGCUCGAUUUGAUUUCUUCAUUCAGUCAGGGGUAGUCGAGUCUGGUAGUGGUAUUUCCUUUCAAAAAUGAAGAAGUCAAAGUCGAUUGAUCUGAAAUCAACAUGGGAAAGGGCUGCUAAGACAUGCAGGGUAGAUUCCCCUUCCCCGUCCACAUCAAGACCACAACUAAUUAGCAUUCAGAGUCAGGUUCAAGCUCAAGUAACCCCUAAUAUUUUGUAAUCUCUCUUUGUUAUCAAAGACAUUUAGUUUGAACUAUAUAUGUAUCUUUUAUGUAAGAUCUUAUCGUUUA